rnacentral:lncRNA from 1 species
UUUAGCAUUUGCAUCAAGAGCAACGCGGAAUGAUAUACUUCUACUUGCAGAAGAACGGAAACCGUUUACCCCGAAGCUGCGCUUCCACUCAAACAUUCAGGUACCACUUUUGUGGCGGCUGCUGACGAGGCCGGAAACGUGUGUGGAUUGAUCGGAAGCCUCUCAGUCAGUUCUGGAUGUGCUGUCGUCGAAGAACACGGAUUUGCCGUUCAGAGACGGGGAGGCGGAUUCAACCGAGUUUACGGCCACCCAAAUUGUUUCGGGCCCCGAAAAAAGCCCUACCACACGCUCAUGCCUGUUAUGGUGACCGAUGCACGCUCGCGAGACUGGCUGUGCGCGAUGGGCACUAUGGGUGGACUCAUACAGACAAGCGUCCUCGCCCAGGUGCUGCUCAACAUGGUCGAGCUUGGUCUAGACCCGCAACAGUCAUUAUCCAAACCACGCUUUUUAAUUGGGUUUAACCUCAGGAUUCACCCAGA